rnacentral:rRNA from 1 species
UACGAAGGGGGCGAGCGUUGUUCGGAUUUACUGGGCGUAAAGGGCGCGCAGGCGGCUUUGUUUGUCAGGCGUGAAAGCCCCGGGCUUAACCUGGGAACUGCAUUUGAUACGGCAGGGCUAGAGUUCGGGAGAGGAGAGUGGAAUUCCCAGUGUAGAGGUGAAAUUCGUAGAUAUUGGGAAGAACACCGGUGGCGAAGGCGGCUCUCUGGACCGAUACUGACGCUGAGGCGCGAAAGCGUGGGGAGCAAACAGG